rnacentral:rRNA from 1 species
CCUACGGGUGGCAGCAGUGAGGAAUAUUGGUCAAUGGCCGGAAGGCUGAACCAGCCAAGCCGCGUGAAGGACGAAGGUGCCAAGCAUUGUAAACUUCUUUUGUCAAGGGACAAAAUCAGGCUCGAGAGCCUGACCGAGGGUACUUGAAGAAAAAGCAUCGGCUAACUCCGUGCCAGCCGCCGCGGUAAUACGGAGGAUGCGAGCGUUAUCGGGAUUUAGUGGGUUUAAAGGGUGCGUGGGCGGGCUGUUAAGUCAGCGGUAAACGCCCGGGGCUAAACCCCGGCGAGCCGUUGAGACUGGCAGUCUUGAGAUGGCGAGAGGUAUGCGGAAUG